rnacentral:siRNA from 1 species
CAGUUGCUAUAUAUGUUCAUUAAC